rnacentral:rRNA from 1 species
CACGUAGGGGGCAAGCGUUGUCCGGAUUUAUUGGGCGUAAAGAGCUCGUAGGCGGUUCGGUAAGUCGGGUGUGAAACCUCCAGGCUCAACCUGGAGACGCCACCCGAUACUGCUGUGACUAGAGUCCGGUAGGGGAGCGUGGAAUUCCUGGUGUAGCGGUGAAAUGCGCAGAUAUCAGGAGGAACACCGGUGGCGAAGGCGGGUCUCUGGGCCGAAAUUGACGCUGAGGAGCGAAAGCCAGGGGAGCAAACGGG